GACGAACGCUGGCGGCGUGCUUAACACAUGCAAGUCGAACGGAAAGGCCCUGCUUGCAGGGUGCUCGAGUGGCGAACGGGUGAGUAACACGUGGGUGAUCUGCCCCUUAUUUUGGGAUAAGCCUGGGAAACUGGGUCUAAUACUGGAUAGGACCAUGCUGUAGGUGGUGUGGUGGAAAGAUUAGUUUCGGUAAGGGAUGAGCUCGCGGCCUAUCAGCUUGUUGGUGGGGUAAUGGCCUACCAAGGCGUCGACGGGUAGCCGGCCUGAGAGGGUGGACGGCCACAUUGGGACUGCGACACGGCCCAGACUCCUACGGGAGGCAGCAGUGGGGAAUAUUGCACAAUGGGCGCAAGCCUGAUGCAGCGACGCCGCGUGGGGGAUGACGGCCUUCGGGUUGUAAACUCCUUUCAGCCAUGACGAAGCCCUUGUGGUGACGGUAGUGGUAGAAGAAGCACCGGCUAACUACGUG
rnacentral:rRNA from 1 species